rnacentral:rRNA from 1 species
AUUGAACGCUGGCGGCAGGCCUAACACAUGCAAGUCGAACGGUAACAGGAAGAAGCUUGCUUCUUUGCUGACGAGUGGCGGACGGGUGAGUAAUGUCUGGGAAACUGCCUGAUGGAGGGGGAUAACUACUGGAAACGGUAGCUAAUACCGCAUAACGUCGCAAGACCAAAUAGGGGGACCUUCGGGCCUCUUGCCAUCGGAUGUGCCCAGAUGGGAUUAGCUAGUAGGUGGGGUAACGGCUCACCUAGGCGACGAUCCCUAGCUGGUCUGAGAGGAUGACCAGCCACACUGGAACUGAGACACGGUCCAGACUCCUACGGGAGGCAGCAGUGGGGAAUAUUGCACAAUGGGCGCAAGCCUGAUGCAGCCAUGCCGCGUGUAUGAAGAAGGCCUUCGGGUUGUAAAGUACUUUCAGCGGGGAGGAAGGGAGUAAAGUUAAUACCUUGGCUCAUUGACGUUACCCGCAGAAGAAGCACCGGCUAACUCCGUG